rnacentral:rRNA from 1 species
UACAGAGGUCCCAAGCGUUGUUCGGAUUCACUGGGCGUAAAGGGUGCGUAGGUGGUGAGGUAAGUCGGAUGUGAAAGCUCGGAGCUCAACUCCGAAAUGGCAUUGGAAACCACCUUGCUCGAGGGUUGGAGGGGGGACUGGAAUGCUUGGUGUAGCAGUGAAAUGCGUAGAUAUCAAGCGGAACACCAGUGGCGAAGGCGAGUCCCUGGACAACUCCUGACACUGAGGCACGAAAGCUAGGGGAGCAAACAGG